rnacentral:rRNA from 1 species
UAGGGAAUCUUCCGCAAUGGGCGAAAGCUUGACGGAGCAACGCCGCGUGAGUGAUGAAGGUCUUCGGAUCGUAAAACUCUGUUAUUAGGGAAGAACAAAUGUGUAAGUAACUAUGCACGUCUUGACGGUACCUAAUCAGAAAGCCACGGCUAACUACGUGCCAGCAGCCGCGGUAAUACGUAGGUGGCAAGCGUUAUCCGGAAUUAUUGGGCGUAAAGCGCGCGUAGGCGGUUUUUUAAGUCUGAUGUGAAAGCCCACGGCUCAACCGUGGAGGGUCAUUGGAAACUGGAAAACUUGAGUGCAGAAGAGGAAAGUGGAAUUCCAUGUGUAGCGGUGAAAUGCGCAGAGAUAUGGAGGAACACCAGUGGCGAAGGCGACUUUCUGGUCUGUAACUGACGCUGAUGUGCGAAGGCGUGGGGAUCAAACAGG